rnacentral:misc_RNA from 1 species
GAUGAAGAACGUAGCGAAAUGCGAUAAGUAGUGUGAAUUGCAGAAUUCAGUGAAUCAUCGAAUCUUUGAACGCACAUUGCGCCCCUUGGUAUUCCAUGGGGCAUGCCUGUUCGAGCGUCAUCUACACCCUCAAGCUCUGCUUGGUGUUGGGCGUCUGUCCCGCCUUUGCGCGUGGACUCGCCCCAAAUUCAUUGGCAGCGGCCCUUGCCUCCUCUCGCGCAGCACAUUUGCGCUUCUCGAGGUGCGCGGGCCGCGUCCACGAAGCAACUAUUACCGUCUUUGACCUCGGAUCAGGUAGGGAUACCCGCUGAACUUAAGCAUAUCAAUAAGCGGAGGA